rnacentral:rRNA from 1 species
CCUACGGGAGGCAGCAGUGGGGAAUAUUGCGCAAUGGGCGAAAGCCUGACGCAGCGACGCCGCGUGAGGGAUGAAGGUCUUCGGAUCGUAAACCUCUGUCAGCAGGGAAGAACGGUCACUGUGCUAAUCAGCAGUGAAUUGACGGUACCUGCAAAGGAAGCACCGGCUAACUCCGUGCCAGCAGCCGCGGGAAUACGGAGGGUGCGAGCGGUAAUCGGAAUUACUGGGCGUAAAGCGCUCGUAGGCGGUAUGUCAAGUCAAGGGUGAAAUCCCCGCGCUCAACGUGGGAACUGCCUUUGAAACUGGCAGACUGGAGUGUGUGAGAGGAUAGUGGAAUUCCAGGUGUAGGAGUGAAAUCCGUAGAUAUCUGGAGGAACAUCAGUGGCGAAGGCGACUAUCUGGCACAUAACUGACGCUGAGGAGCGAAAGCGUGGGUAGCAAACAGGAUUAGAUACCCUUGUAGUC